rnacentral:piRNA from 1 species
UUCUUUAUCGUGCAAAUUCAAGUCACCCAU